GUGCUCACUUCGGCAGCACAUAUACUAAAAUUGGAACGAUACAGAGAAGAUUAGCAUGGCCCCUGCGCAAGGGUAAGAUUGCCAUUUUUACUUUGUUAAU
ensembl:snRNA U6 U6 spliceosomal RNA